GGUUUUAUAGGUGAGGAUCGAACACCGCCGCCCUUCCCUUAAUCGAUAGGGAUUAACCUUAUCAACGUGUUGAAAAAGUGGGAUAAAGAUGUUAACGUUUUCGUCUCUGCCGAUAAAUUGUGUGUGUCAUUGUGUUGGAUUUUCAUUGUGCCAUGUUUUAGGACCGUGUGACCAGAUCCUUGCUUUGAACGAAAGUUUCUGUCAAAACCAGGAAAAGUCGGUCCUUCUUCAAAUUAAUAAAGUCAAAUAAUACUAAAACUCCUGGUUCUAUUAUUUGGACACUUUGCAGGUAUUGCAUACACUUCAAAGUAUUUACCCUUUCGUAGUUUUUAGGCCACAUCACCUGUUCCGGCUUGGUUUUAGUUAACCUUAUUCUCAAUUUUAUGACUUGUUUUCCUAGGUAUGUUGAAAUUUUGUGCCGUAUUUGAUGUUCCUAGAUGUAGUGAAAUUAUAUCUUGUCUUGAGAAUCGAAAUCGUUGGAACAGAAAGAAUAAGCUGUCGGCAGAAGGCAUAUGGCAUAUCUAUCAAAGCUAAGAUUAAAAUACCUCCAAAAAAAGAAGCUACCCAAGAAUCUAAAACCUCUUAUUGGAUGUAUUGGUACAAGUCUGGAAAUAGGUGGACUCCUGACUGUUGGUAAGUGAGUUCUUCCAAAAAUCAUGAUAUUGAUCAUCACACCUUCGAACUCUGCACAUGCGAGUCUACCUUUUUCAAUGUGGUAGCAAAAAGUGCAGCACCCGCAGAGAAUUUCCCACUUGGUACAAUUGAUCUGAAUGAAAAUAAGUGUUGUUUUAGUGACUAUGAACAAAACUUAUGGUUACUGUCAUAUUAAACUUUACGGUUUGGUGUUCAAACAAGGUAGCAGUUCCUGGUGAAAGGUUUGAUUGGUUGCUUCAGCAUUAUAAAUCCUCAAGAUUCACUAUUUACUGGAUCAGAAGCUCAUACAGCUGGCAGCAACAGAAACCCUGUUCAUACUUAAAGCAAUCUUUUUUAAGGAUUUUAUUUACAAAACAUGCAUGACUGUGAAUGUAAUGAAUAUUUGAUAACCAUACCAUAAAUUUCAGAUAAAUAAUCCUUCAAAAUGCCAGCUUAUAUGUCCCCCAAAAUAGAGGAAAAUUACAAGCAGUGAUUUAACUUUUCAGUGAUAAGGCACCUACGAAAGAUAUAUCAGUAAUGAAGCCCGACUUCUUGCAGGCCUACCAACUGUUCUUCUCUAAUUGUAACCAUUUAAUUGAGGAAUUUUGAAUAGAUUCUGCACUGCCAUC